rnacentral:rRNA from 1 species
UUAUCGCCGCGUGGUGUUGGGACUGUAGCCGUAGUAGGUCAGCGCAGGGGUGACACGGAAUGGGAGCCGGCCGCGGAGGUGGUUUUCCGUGGUCAAGCACGCAGCCAGUCAUGUAGGCAAAUCCGCAUGGCGCGCAUGGCGAGGUGUGAUGAUGGGAGCCGUUAUGGCUCGAUAUCCGGUUGUCCAGGCCGUCGAGAAAAGCCUCGGCGUGAGGGCCAUGGCCGCCCGUACCCCAAACCGACACUGGUGGUCAGGUAGAGAAUACCAAGGCGAUCGAGCGAAUCCUGGUCAAGGAACUCGGCAAAUCACUCCCGUGCCUUCGGUAUAAGGGAGACCCGCUGGGGUGAACCGGCUAGCCCGGGGAGCUUUGGUGGGUGGCACAGACCAGGGGGUAGCGACUGUUUACCAAAAACACAGGUGCAUGCGAAGGCGAAAGCCGCUGUAUAUGCACUGACGCCUGCCCGGUGCCGGAAGGUUAAGAGGAUCCGUCAGUCCUUCGGGAUGAAGCGGUGAAUUCAAGCCCCGGUAAACGGCGGUGGUAACGGUAACCAUCCUAAGGUAGCGAAAUUCCUUGUCGGGUAAGUUCCGACCUGCACGAAUGGCGUAACGACUUCCCCACUGUCUCGACCAGGAGCUCGGCGAAAUUGCAGUACGAGUAAAGAUGCUCGUUAAGCGCAGAAGGACGAAAAGACCCCGGGACCUUUACUAUACCUUGGUAUUGGCGUUAGGCGCGGAUUGUGUAGCAUAGGCGGGAGGCUUCGAAGCGUGGGCGCCAGCUCAUGUGGAGCCGCAAGGUGAAAUACCGCUCUGUUCUCGUUUGACGUCUAACCUCGACAAGUCAUCCUUGUCAGGGACAGUGCCUGGCGGGUAGUUCAACUGGGGCGGUUGCCUCCCAAAGAGUAACGGAGGCGCUCAAAGGUCCGCUCAGCCCGGUUGGCAAUCGGGUGUCGAGUGUAAUCGCACAAGCGGGCUUGACUGCGAGGACGACGGUCCGAGCAGGGACGAAAGUCGGAGAUAGUGAUCCGGUGCCGGCGCGCGGGCGCGGCAUCGCUCAACGGAUAAAAGGUACCCCGGGGAUAACAGGCUGAUCAUUCCCAAGAGUCCAUAUCGACGGGAUGGUUUGGCACCUCGAUGUCGGCUCGUCGCAUCCUGGGGCUGGAGCAGGUCCCAAGGGUUCGGCUGUUCGCCGAUUAAAGCGGCACGCGAGCUGGGUUCAGAACGUCGUGAGACAGUUUGGUCUCUAUCCUCUGCGCUCGUUGGAAUCCUGAGGAGGCCUGCCCAUAGUACGAGAGGACCUGGGUGGACGAACCUCUGGUAUGCCGGUUGUCGCGCCAGCGGCACGGCCGGUUGGCUACGUUCGGGAGGGAUAACCGCUGAAAGCAUCUAAGCGGGAAGCCUGCUCCAAGAUUAGGAUUCCAUGGAUCUUCGAGAUCCUGUAGCCCGCAUGUUGAACACGUGUUUGAUAGGCCGGAGGUGGAAGCCCCGUGAGGGGUGGAGCCGACCGGUACUAACGGGCGACGGC